rnacentral:rRNA from 1 species
GACGAACGCUGGCGGCGUGCUUAACACAUGCAAGUCGAGCGGUAAGGCCCUUUCGGGGGUACGACGAGCGGCGAACGGGUAGGAGUAACACGUGGGUGGACCUCGCCCUCCAGCUCUGGGAGUAAGCCUGGGAAACGUAGGGUCGUAAUACUGGAUAUGACUCCACGGUGCAUGUCGUGGGGUGGAAAGCCUUGUGCGGCUGAGGAUGGGCCC